GCGAAUGUAGCUUAGUGGUAGAGUUCUUGCUUAGCAUGCAUGAAGCCCUGGGUUCGAUUCCUCAGUACUGCA
rnacentral:tRNA from 1 species